GUGGCGGUGUCCCCACAGCUCCCACAGCCGGCCGGGGGCCAGGGGAAACGGGAAGGUCCCGAACUGCCACACUGGGGCCAUGCCCUCCCCCCUCCGCUCGCUUGGGGUGGGAACGGAAGACGGGGAAGGGAGGGAGGUCUGGGGAUCCUCCGACGUCCAGGAGCCACCCGCACGCCUGACACCGUAGCCGGCCUGGGCUCUGGCUCCGAGCUUGGGGGGACCGCGUCCUCGGCCUAAGCGGGACAGCCUUCCUGGAGGAAGAGGGGAGCCGCGUUGUCCCGGAGCCACUGCGCUUCUAAAGUGUGUGGGGCGGAGCGGCGGGAAGGGGCGCGGUUCUCCCGCCCGCAACAGCUGCUUUCCUCGGAGCCGGGCGGGGAAGAGAUGCGGCCGCCCCGCCUCCACCCUGCCUCGCAGGGGCCCCCCGCAGCUGCCACCCGGCAGGCCUAGGGCCGCGUCCGCAGGUGCGCGCGGGGACCGUCUGCACCUGCGGGCGGCGAAGAGAGGCGCUCUCCGCAGGUCCUCGGAGACCCCCUAAAACCCAGCCCUCAAGGUGACCGGGUCUUGUGCCUCACACCCCUAGCAGGGAAAGGACUGGAGCAAUGCUGAGCAGGAAACUGAGGAAACAGGAGCCCGGCUCCCAGCUCCUCACCUCCAGCCAGAAUGGUUUAUAGGCCUUACGCUGACUGGGGAGGAAGGAGCAGCUGUGGGAAGGUAUGGCAAAACUUGGAUAUUGGAAGAUUGAAGUCUGUUAUGUAUUAACUUCGCAACCAACUAUCACAGUCUACGUCGGUUAUAGGUUUAAACUACAAAAAUACUCAACUACCGUCCUUAUGUACAAUCCAACAGGCAAGAGAAGAGGAUGUACAUUGGUUGCUGAUGGCUUCGCGGAAGGAGACAGAUACUUGAAAGCUUCCUAUUCAAUUCUUGUAUCUUUGAGGGGAAGAGCUUUUGGAACAAAAUGGGGAAUCUCCCACACAGCCAUUCUCAGUCUGUCCUCGUACUCUCUUUGGCUUUCUUUGCAAGAUGACAAAAUGCCAAUAUUUGGUUAUCAGCUGCUUCUUGGAGCCAAAGACUGCCCUGGACUUAUCGGCCGCUCUUGAGUUUGUCAUGGAAGUUUCAAGUAUCAGCGUGGCCACCUUGAUGAAACCAUUGGAUUAGUGGGGACUGUUCUUCUCAGAGAACACAAAGGCACUCAGUGAUCACUUCUCUCACAUUUAGCUUGGUGCUUGUGAGGUGAAGAUAUAGAACCAUGUUUCUGCAUGGGUCAACGCUUUCAAAAAAAGCUAUCUUUCAUAGCCACAUCCUUCCUUGUCCUCUUUUUAAAUGUGACACUGACCUCAAGGACAGGUAAGGAGUUGGGAGGGAGGGCAGAGAUUUUCAUCUAUUCUGCUCACUGACGUGUCCCAACGCCUGACAUAAAGGAGGCACUUGACAAAUAAAUGUGGACUGAAUGAGCAGAUUAGGUGA